GCCAGGCGUGGUAGCGCAUGCCUGUAAUCCUAGCGACCUGGGAGGCUGAGGCAUGAGGUUUGCGAGUUCAAAGCCAGCCUCAGCAACUUAGCAAGACCCCAAGAAACUCAGCAAGAUCCUGUCUCUA
rnacentral:sRNA from 1 species